rnacentral:rRNA from 1 species
GACGAACCGUGCGAACGUUGUUCGGAUUCACUGGGCUUAAAGGGCGCGUAGGCGGUCCACCAAGUCUGGGGUGAAAUCGUUCGGCUUAACCGGACAAGUGCCUUGGAUACUGGUGGGCUGGAGGGAGGUAGGGGCAGCUGGAACUUCUGGUGGAGCGGUGAAAUGCGUUGAUAUCAGAAGGAACGCCGGUGGCGAAAGCGAACUGCUGGACCUCUUCUGACGCUGAGGCGCGAAAGCUAGGGGAGCAAACGGG